AGAGUUUGAUCCUGGCUCAGGAUGAACGCUAGCGGCAGGCUUAACACAUGCAAGUCGAGGGGCAGCAUUCACUUCGGUGAGAUGGCGACCGGCGCACGGGUGCGUAACGCGUAUGCAACCUACCUUUAACAGGAAGAUAGCUCCCGGAAACGGGGAUUAAUAUUCCAUAGAAUUAAGAUAUCGCAUGGUAUUUUAAUUAAAGUUCCGACGGUUAAAGAUGGGCAUGCGUGACAUUAGUUAGUUGGUAAGGUAACGGCUUACCAAGACGAAGAUGUCUAGGGGUCCUGAGAGGGUUAUCCCCCACACUGGUACUGAGACACGGACCAGACUCCUACGGGAGGCAGCAGUGAGGAAUAUUGGUCAAUGGGCGCAAGCCUGAACCAGCCAUGCCGCGUGCAGGAAGACGGCCCUAUGGGUUGUAAACUGCUUUUCUUCAGGGAUAAUCUCAGGUACGUGAUACCUGAUUGAAGGUACUGAAGGAAUAAGCACCGGCUAACUCCGUGCCAGCAGCCGCGGUAAUACGGAGGGUGCAAGCGUUAUCCGGAUUUAUUGGGUUUAAAGGGUACGUAGGCUGUAUCAUAAGUUAGUGGUGAAAUAUCGGGGCUCAACCCCGGGGCUGCCAUUAAAACUGUGGUACUUGAGUUCAGUAGGAGUAGGCGGAAUGUGUUGUGUAGCGGUGAAAUGCAUAGAUAUAACACAGAACACCGAUCGCGAAGGCAGCUUACUAUACAUGGACUGACGCUAAUGUACGAAAGCGUGGGGAGCGAACAGGAAUAGAUACCCUGGUAGUCCACGCCGUAAACGAUGCUCACUCGCUGUUGGCGAUAUACAGUCAGCGGCCAAGCGAAAGUGAUAAGUGAGCCACCUGGGGAGUACGAUCGCAAGUUUGAAACUCAAAGGAAUUGACAGGGGCCCGCACAAGCGGAGGAGCAUGUGGUUUAAUUCGAUGAUACGCGAGGAACCUUACCUGGGCUAGAACGGCAGACGACUAUAGGUGAAAGCUUAUAUUCUACGGACGUCUGUUGAGGUGCUGCAUGGUUGUCGUCAGCUCGUGCCGUGAGGUGUCGGGUUAAGUCCCAUAACGAGCGCAACCCCUAUACUUAGUUACCAGCAUUUCGGAUGGGGACUCUAAGUAAACUGCCGGCGCAAGCCGUGAGGAAGGUGGGGAUGACGUCAAAUCAGCACGGCCCUUAUGUCCAGGGCUACACACGUGCUACAAUGGUCUGCACAGAGGGCAGCUACUUGGUGACAAGAUGCUAAUCCCGAAAGCAGGUCUCAGUUCGGAUUGGAGUCUGCAACUCGACUCUAUGAAGUUGGAUUCGCUAGUAAUCGCAUAUCAGCCAUGAUGCGGUGAAUACGUUCCCGGGCCUUGUACACACCGCCCGUCAAGCCAUGGAAGCUGGGGGUACCUGAAGUCGGUAACCGCAAGGAACUGCCUAGGGUAAAACUAGUAACUGGGGCUAAGUCGUAACAAGGUA
rnacentral:rRNA from 1 species